rnacentral:rRNA from 1 species
GACAGAGGUGCCAAGCGUUAGGCGGAAUCACUGGGCUUAAAGCGUGUGUAGGCGGAUUUGUAAGUACCUUGUGAAAUCCCACGGCUCAACCGUGGAACUACUCGGUAUACUGCUUAUCUUGAGCCACUUAGGGGCUACCGGAACAAAUGGUGGAGCGGUGAAAUGCGUAGAUAUCAUUUGGAACGCCAAUGGUGAAAACAGGUAGCUGGGAGUGUGCUGACGCUGAGACACGAAAGCCAGGGGAGCGAACGGG